CCUACGGGUGGCUGCAGUCGAGAAUCUUCGGCAAUGGACGCAAGUCUGACCGAGCGACGCCGCGUGCGGGAUGAAGGCCUUCGGGUUGUAAACCGCUGUCAGAGGGGAUGAAGUGUACGGGAGUUCUCUCCUGUAUUUGACAGAGCCUCAGAGGAAGCACGGGCUAAGUUCGUGCCAGCAGCCGCGGUAAUACGAACUGUGCGAACGUUAUUCGGAAUCACUGGGCUUAAAGGGUGCGUAGGCGGUUAUCUAAGUCAGGUGUGAAAUCUCUCGGCUCAACCGAGAAACUGCGCUUGAAACUGGGUGACUGGAGGAAUGCAGGGGUGUGUGGAACUUCCGGUGGAGCGGUGAAAUGUGUAGAUAUCGGAAGGAACGCCAGCAGCGAAAGCGGCACACUGGGCAUUUACUGACGCUGAGGCACGAAAGCUAGGGGAGUGAACGGGAUUAGAUACCCCAGUAGUC
rnacentral:rRNA from 1 species